rnacentral:lncRNA from 1 species
UGCAGGUUAAAUAAACUUAAAGGAAGGAUUAUGGUUUGAUAAUGAUAUUGGAGGACAAAUCAGAAAACAUUGACUACCUAGGAAAGAGAAGCAUUGUCGUUACAUUAUUUGUUUCUGUCGUUUUUAGUUAGUUUUAAUUAUUUUAGAAAACAUUGAUUACUUGGAAAAGACAAGCAUUAUUAAUUGUUUAGUUCAUUUAAUUAUCAGUGGCAUUUAGUUGUAAAUAAAAGAAAACUCUAAGGGUUAUUUUAUAUGUGUACUUCUGUUUUAAUAAAGUAGAUACAUAAUAAAUGAACGACAA